rnacentral:lncRNA from 1 species
CCAUUCAUAAUUUCCUCUGCCCUGCCUGCGCCGUGCCCACAGCCGAAGUUUUGUCGCCUCUCGGGGUUACCGCAGGGUCACUGCUUCUUCAGGUUGUUUUAUCCCCCAUAUUAUAUGCCGCCUCUCACUGUUUUCCUCCGCGGUAACCUCCUCUCUCUCAAGACGUCUUCGUCUCCGGCGAGCUCGUCCGCACCCCAGUGGUCGAAUACUCCUCUGCAACAGUAGACAAAUGACCCUUAGCGGAGGAAGAUUCCCCAACAUGGACGACCCCCCCCCUCUGCGCGGUCCUCUGAGGCUAGCGAGGGAGGGACGGAGAGGGAGGGAGGGAGGGAGGGAAGGAGGAAGGAGGUCAACCCAAAGAGCUUUACAGCGAUGGUGUCAGGACUCCCCGGAGGGCGCUGACAGCAGCCAUGCAGAGGAGCCUCAGAGGGGACCCUUUUUUCCUUACUGCUGCGUCCUUUUCAGAUAUAUUCGUUGCGGCAGACCCACGCUGAACGGACGGUGGGGAUGCGAAGACCCUCGUCAGACCUGAGGUCAGAACCGGGGUUUCACCCGCCCGAUCUGGUGAUCUCUAUUCACCCCGCUUUUUCAUCGAGGAGAUAGUGAGAGAAAGAGAGAGCCUGUGGGCUCGCCAAGGACAGACCCGGCAGGAGGACAAAUCUGCUACCAAACAGGCAACAAUGAUGCAUGCAGGAGCAAUCUGCUAACCCUAGCUGAGGGCCGGUCUCUCUCCUCUGUAAUCCUCUCUCUCUCU